rnacentral:rRNA from 1 species
GUAAAGCACUUUCAGUAGGGAGGAAGGUAGUGUAGUUAACACCUGCAUUAUUUGACGUUACCUACAGAAGAAGCACCGGCUAACUCCGUGCCAGCAGCCGCGGUAAUACGGAGGGUGCGAGCGUUAAUCGGAAUUACUGGGCGUAAAGCGCAUGCAGGCGGCCUGUUAAGUCAGAUGUGAAAGACCCGGGGCGUUAACCUCGGAAUUGCAUUUGAAACUGGCAGGCUAGAGUCUUGUAGAGGGGGGUAGGAAGUUUCAGGUGUAGCGGUGAAAUGCGUAGAGAUCUGAAGGAAUACCAGUGGCGAAGGCGGCCCCCUCGGACAAAGACUGACGCUCAGAUGCGAAAGCGUGGGGAGCAAACAGGAUUAGAUACCCUGGUAG